AACUGACGGUGUGGACAACUAAUUAUCAAAGCUUUAAAUCUCUACCAGGCUUGAAAAAGUGGUUCUCCCUUGUUCUGCCUAAAGUGAAAUAUGUGAUCCCUCAACCU